UACGUAGGGUGCGAGCGUUGUCCGGAAUUAUUGGGCGUAAAGAGCUCGUAGGCGGCUUGUCACGUCGACUGUGAAAACCCGAGGCUCAACCUCGGGCCUGCAGUGGGUACGGGCAGACUAGAGUGCGGUAGGGGAGAUUGGAAUUCCUGGUGUAGCGGUGGAAUGCGCAGAUAUCAGGAGGAACACCGAUGGCGAAGGCAGAUCUCUGGGCCGUAACUGACGCUGAGGAGCGAAAAGCGUGGGGAGCGAACAGG
rnacentral:rRNA from 1 species